UACGGAGGGGGCAAGCGUUGUUCGGAAUUACUGGGCGUAAAGGGCGCGUAGGCGGUCAGCACAAGUCAGUUGUGAAAUCUCCGGGCUUAACUCGGAAAGGUCAACUGAUACUGUGCGACUAGAGUGCGGAAGGGGCAACUGGAAUUCUUGGUGUAGCGGUGAAAUGCGUAGAUAUCAAGAGGAACACCUGCGGCGAAGGCGGGUUGCUGGGCCGACACUGACGCUGAGGCGCAAAAGCCAGGGGAGCGAACGGG
rnacentral:rRNA from 1 species